UCAAACUGGUGUCCCUUGCAUUGCAAGGCAAGGCAAUUCUUAACCUCUGGAGCACCAGGGAAGCCCUAUGUCACUUCUUUAAACUUUAUUUUUUAUUGGGGUUACAUUGCUUUAUAACAUUAUGCUUCAUGUGUUCAAUUUAUAUCACUUUGUUGUUCCUUAUUCUUUCAGACAUCUUCAAUGUCAGAUUUAAACCCGGUGAAUGUAAUUGUGAUUGGCAUCUGAAGGGUGGUGGGAGUCUUGUAAGACUGAGCGGUUAACCUUUCCAAUUGUGAAUCAAGUUAAAUUUAGGAUACCCAGCUGGUGGCCAAGAGUUUUUUGUUGGUGUGGGAACAUCACCCCCGACCACGUUCAAAUGGGUUCCAGAAUUGUUGUAACAUCAUUUUCUCCCAGUCUGUAAACACCCCUAUCUUAUUUCCUUUUCUUUUCAGCUGCAGCUCAUGGUUGUUUCAUGUGAACAACAUACUUUUUCACCAAAACUCUGUACUUCCUCGAAGCCUUAGCCCUCUCUGACCCUGCACAGAAAUCCCUAAACCUACUUCAGUGUGCAAUUUACCCUUCAUGGUAGUAUUUGCCCCGGUUUUUUCAGUCCUGCCUAUAUCUAUGACCAUGCGUUGUCCCCUCUCACACUCACUCUGGGCUUGAGAGUGUGACUUGCUUUCAUCAAGGGACAUUAGCAAGUUGGGCAGUGACUUAAAAGAUGCUGGCACACCUGGGCUCACUCUCUGCUCUUCAGAACAGAGCUCACUUCCUGAAGAAGCCUGAUCUAGCCUGCUGGAGAGGAGCCGUGAUUUGAAGGGGAAAUAACAAGGCCCAGCUGAGGUCUCUCCAGAACAACCUGGCUACCAACCAUUAGGUAGUUUUUAAAAAGGCCAUCCUAGACCAUGUAGUCCAAGUGAGCUCGCCCAGAACAGAAGACCCACCCAGCUGACGCGUAGAAUCCUCAGCCUGUCCCCGGUCAUACUGAGAAAACGACCUCGUUGCCUGCUUCAGAUAAGGUGGGGCUUGCAGGCCCAGUAAGGACCUGCUGUUUUCCUGUGUUUUGGGUGAGAAACCAUCGGAGGCCUGUGAGUAGCAGAGUGACCCAGGCUGCUGUGUGGAGAGCGCCGUGUGGUGAGCAGGAGUAGAAACAAGGAGCCGUUCGAGGAGACGACAGGAGCUCUGCGCAGGGAGACAGAGGAGGCAGUGCGCGGGGUGGAGAGCUGUGGUGGCAGGACUCCGUUCAAGGAGACUAAAACGCAGACGGCAUCCUCUGGACUUCAAGUGAGUGCAGUUGUCCUGGGUAGAAGGAUGAAGUGAAAAUUCUGGUUAUGUUUUGAAGAUGAGAGCCUAAAGAAUAUGGUGAUUAAUUGAUGUGGGAAGAAAAAGAGGAAAUCGGCGAUAAUCACAUUUCACUGUAAUGAUUUUUUUUUUUUAAAUUGGCACUUUCUAACCACUCCAGAAUUCUUGCCUGGAGAAUUCCAUGAAGUGAGAAGCCUGGCAAGCCAUGUUGUGCAAAGAGUCGGACGUGGCUGAGCAACGAACACUUUCACUACCUCAUUCCCUCCUGGGAAGAAGGCAGAGACCGUCCUAAAUAUCUCUCUUUGUAUAUUAGUCUUGAAUGAAUGGAUGAAUGACUCAAUCAA